GAGCGUGUCCCUGGGAAAAACUCCAACUGGCCUGAGCACUGGAGUAGAGCCUCAGGAAUUUCGUGCCUUUUGCAGUUGAGAGGAGCCUGGCCCCUCCUCUUCUUGUGUGGAACCUAGGAUUCGAGCUGUGGGCAGAAAGUGCUCUAGCAGGGACUCUGGCUUUGAAAGAGUCCCUUUUUCCUCCUUUUCUUCCUUUACACCCAAUAAAACCUGUCUUACCCUUCAAACUGUCUGCACGCCUGAAUUUUUAUGGCUGUGGGACAAAGGACCUCAUCUUUAGCUGAACUAAGGAAAAAGUCCUGCAACAUUUUUGGCGUGCAACGUAGGGACUUGAGAAGCGGUCAUCAAACUCCAAGUGGCCAUGCAACCAGAGCCUCUGAUGAUGGCCCCUUCUGCUGGGAACCUUACACAGGCCUCUGAGGGAGCUUUAACUGCCGUUUCCCCAAAACAGCACCCCUGUCAGCAGGAAGCAGAAUUGCUGCCUCUAAUACUGGGAUGGGAUCUACAUUUUCAAGGGACGGUUCCUGUUGCACCUGCUUUUUAAAUGAAGCUGACUCUAGCAUAAUAUCAGCUGCUUGGAAAAGAACACCAGUCUUCCAUCAAAUAAGCUGUCUUCGUUGCCUGGCACAUUGACUUGUCAAGUUCCAAAUGUCAUGACCUGUGAAAACUUGAGACAACUACAAAGCAAAUUAAUGCCGGAGAAGUGGGCCCUAGGACUUCAGCAAUUUGAGAUUCUGAUUACAAAAGACUGGAAAAGGAAAGACCCUUGGUAGUGCUCAACAUGAACCAAAACACAAAUAGACUCAGCAUUUUUAAUGUUUUAAUGACUAGAAAUGGAAUCUUCACAUAUUGUAAAAAGUGAACAGAAAAGAAACAUUAAAUAAGAAUAAUGCAUAAUCUGCGAUUUUUUUUUUUGAGACAGAGUUUUGCUCUUGUUGCCCAGGCUGGAAUGCAAUGGCGCGAUCUUGGCUCACCACAACCUCCACCUCCCAGGUUCAAGCAAUUCUCCUGCCUCAGCCUUCCCAAGCAGCUGGAAUUAUAGGCAUGCGCCACCAAGCCCGGCUAAUUUUGUAUUUUUAGUAGAGAUGGGUUUUCUCCAUGUGGGUCAGGCUGGUCUCAAACUCCCGACCUCAGGUGAUCCACCCACCUCGGCCUCCCAAAGUGCUGGGAUUACAGGCGUGAGCCACCGCACCUGGCCUAAUCUGGAAUUUUUAUUGUUUUGUGUUAAUCUGUAUUUUCAAUGUUUGUAUAAUGUCCAUGUGUUUGUAGUAAUAAAAUAAUAAGGCAUUUAAAACUAUUUACUUUCAACCUUCACAUCAUUUUGUACUUAUGUUACUUUGUAAGCAACUAUGUCAUUAAAUUCUGGAUUCUGAAUCCAGUAGGCCCUUUCAGGUGGACCAGAAACCACAGUGAGAGAAGGU
rnacentral:lncRNA from 10 species